rnacentral:lncRNA from 1 species
CCUUUCUCCCCAUACUUUUGGGUAAACCCAUCGCAUGUGUCUUUUUCUUUCCUUUUUUUUCCCCUUUCUUUUCUUUUUCCCUUUUCUUUUCCUUUCUCCCAACUUUUCCUUUUCACAGCAUUGGAACACGGGAGGUAGUCACGCAGAAGAACUUGAGCGGCCUGGUGCCCAUCCGAGACCUAAGGCUAGACCCCAGCCUCCUUUGUUCCAUUCCUCUAUUAGCUCUGAGCCCCAAUUUACUGAUUGUGUGGCUCUUUCUGAGCAUAGCAUACCUGGUGA